UACGUAGGGUGCGAGCGUUGUCCGGAUUUAUUGGGCGUAAAGAGCUCGUAGGCGGUUUGUCGCGUCGGCCGUGAAAUCUCCACGCUUAACGUGGAGCGUGCGGUCGAUACGGGCAGACUUGAGUUCGGUAGGGGAGACUGGAAUUCCUGGUGUAGCGGUGAAAUGCGCAGAUAUCAGGAGGAACACCGGGUGGCGAAGGGCGGGGUCUCUGGGCUGAUACUGACGCUGAGGUGCGAAAGCGUGGGGGAGCAAACAGG
rnacentral:rRNA from 1 species